ensembl:lncRNA
AGCCUGGAAACCAUGGCAGCAGCAGGAAGUUCCGGCUGUUUUAAAGUUGCGGUUCCGGUGUUCAAAAUGCCAAGGAUGAUGGGAAACUUGAGCUUGUUUAUCGGUUUGUACGGAACGCCACCCACCGUUCGGAAAACAUCUGACCCCGUGAGGUGCUAGAUCCUGGAUACCUGAGACACAUCAACUUCUCAGGUUUGGAAUGCACAAUGAUGAGACACAAAAACAUAAACAUCUCCAGAAAGAAGCUAUGGUAAGCUUCAAGGUUUCACAGUCCAAGUUAAUAUCUAUGGACAUUUGACCAAAUGAUCUGAGAAAAUUCGAUUCCUGGCAAAAGAAGUGUAACUAGAGUCAGGCAGGACUGGAACACAGAGGACUACUAGAUUAAGUGGAAACAAUGCCCAGGCAUCCCAGUGCCCCCACUGAUGGUCCAGCUAUCAUCAAGAUGGUGACGAGUUACAUAUGACCUGGAGGAGGACUGUGCAGAGUACCUUCUAGCACCAUAAACACUAAUCAGUGAGCAAUGCUGAACUUCUAAUUAGGCAAGAGCUCAACCUCUUCAUGCUUGAGGACAUAAAGUUCAGGAUCAAGCUCAGAAGCUCACAGCUGCCAGCAGCACACUACUACUGCACUGUCUCCUUAGUCCAUGCUCACUCUUAAAUAGCCACAAAACACUCAGUGGUAUGGCAAAGGAAACCUCCAUUUCAUUUAGAUGUUUAUGAUAAUUUUUCCCACUUUAAUUAUUUUAUGUAGUUGAAUAUGAUUUUUUUUCCUAAGGAAUUUUUUUAUCUCAAUGUAAGACUCUUGAACCUUUAUGUUAUAUAUAAUUUCCUGUAGUUUUCAAAAUUGCUUUAAUAAAAAAGUUUAACUUUAAAA